AGAGAGAGACAGAGCACGAACAGGGGAGGGGCAGAGAGAGACGGAGACACAGAAUCGGAAACAGGCUCCAGGCUCUGAGCUGUCAGCACAGAGCCCGACGCGGGGCUCAAACUCACGGACCGUGAGAUCAUGACCUGAGCCGAAGUCGGACGCUUAACCGACCAAGCCACCCAGGCGCCCCCGAUCAGUUUCUUUUCAAGUCGCAGCGAUGCCUGGGUGGCCCGGUCGGUUGGGCAUCCGGCUUCGGUUCAGGUCGUGAUCUCACGGGUCGCGGGUUCGAGCCCCGCAUGGGGCCCUGUGCUGGCAGCUGGGAGCCUGGAACCUGCUUCCGACUCUGUGUCUCCCCCUCCCCCAUUCUCUCUCUCUCUCUCUCAAAAAUAAAUAAGCGUUAAAAAAACAUUUUUUUUUUAAUUGCAGCCCUCCUGACUUAGAUCAACUUUCCCAGAAGCAGCGGCUGAGACAGGGAUCCUGAGAGGGAUGAUUUGUUGGGGAAGAAGAGGCAGGAUUGAGGCCAGGAAAAGUCAAGUUAGCAAGUGCUCUCAGCUGAUGACCAGCCUCAGCCCGGGGACACACGGGCCCUGGACUCGGGAGGGAGAGGCUACACCAGGGACCCACCGUCUUCAACCAAUGGCGCUGGAAAGCUAAAAGUUCCCCUUUCCAGACCUCCGGGCAGCAACCGUGGCCGUGGGGCUCACUUCCGGCUCGUGAGAGGUAAGCAGAAGCCGGCUGGGGGUUGCUUCUCCAGCAGCCGCACCCCUCCUUCCCCCUCCUCCCGGCAUCCUCGGACGGUAAGAACUUUCUGUGGCCCGGGAGUCUGGAGCCAGAGCCUGAGCCCUCCAGCGCUCCGCAGCCCCCACCGUGCCCUGUGGAUCUCCCGUCCCUGUGGCUGGACGCUCACUGUCUCUCGUGAGACUGUCAGCUCCAGGAGGGGAGCCUGGAUCCGUGCCUGACACAGAGUCAAGCGCUCAGAAAUCUUUGUUGAGUGACCGAUCUGGCACCUGCUGGGUCCAGGUUAGGCACGUGGUUUUGCAGCCCCACAUUAGAGCGUAGCUUUUCGGGUCGUCAAAGCAGAAAAGAAUAAUAAUGAUUCCUGAGCGAGGCUUUGAAGGCUCCAACCCCACCGCCCCCCCCCAGGAGGCAGCGUAACUUAGCGAGUUAAGAGCAGAGGCUGACAAACUUUUCCUGUAAAGGGACAGAUGUAAAUAUCUUUGGAUUUGUGGGCCACCGCUGGCUCGGGCUGCAACUUCUCAACUUUUACCGGCCUAGCAUGAAAGGAGCCACAGACGAUAUGUAAACGAUCGCGCCUGGCCGGCCGCGUGCCGAUAAACCUUUAUUGACAAAAACAAGCAGCGGGCCAGAUCUGGCCCGAGGGCUGUAGUUUGCGGACCCCCUGGUCGUAGAGGGUGGACUCUAGAAGCAGACCGCCUGGGUUCAAGUCGCUCUCUCCUCCGCCCGCUGGGAAGCCCGGCUGGAAGCCAGAGGGAGCCCGGGUCAGCCUCCCGGUGCCUAGAGCCCAGGGGCGUGUGGGUGUCCGGGGCAAACGGAGAACAUCCAGCGCCGAGGCUGCUAAUGAAUGACAUCACGGCUAGAAUGUUUUCUUCGCAGCGUUACUCCCGAGAGUGAAACGAGGAAGCCGGCCGCCAA
ensembl:lncRNA